UGCAAAAAUUUAUAGAAUUCACAUCUGAUCUGAGACACAGUAUUUGGAGUUUGGUGUUUGUCUUAUCUAAGUACUUCUGCUGAUCGUUUUAGUCCCUGCACUAAAAUGCUGCAUUUUAUCUCUCAAGUCCCUGCAUUUCUGGCCUUGAGAGAUAACAGAAAAAAAUAUACGUUGGUCUCGGCCCCCUCUUCCACCUCAUUCUUGGCACAGAGCUCCUGAAACCCUUGUAAAUUCCUAAAUGAUAAGCACACAAGAGCAACUCUGUUCUAAAAUGUGGUCUUUGACCCUGGCUCCCAAUACAAGCUCCUAACCCCCUUGGAAUUUCCUAGGUGACAGGAGUGUCUUUUGUUCUAAUGGGAUGACUGGGUGGGCUCCGAUGGCUCUAGGAAAGGGGGCAGGGAGCUUGGAAUUUUCUCCCGAGAAAGGAGAGGGCCUGGAAAUGGAGUUAAUGAUUGAUCGUGCUUCAGGGAGGAAGCCUCCAUAAAAUUUGCCAAUUGUACAGGGUUUGGAAAACUUCCAGGUUGGUGAACACAUCUACAUAGUAGGAGGGUGACCCAACCCUGCUCCAUGGGAAAGAAGCUCCUGAGCUUGGGACCCUCCCCGGAGUUCACGCUGCUUGGAACACAGCUCCGUUUUGAAUGAAGAAAACUGAUGGGAGAGGCGAGCGAGCCCAGAGAAAUGCACGCUGUUGUUAAGAGCAUCAUCUUCACGCUGUCAGCAGAGAUUCGAGUCUACCAAAACAUCCACUGUCACAUAAAAGAUGACAGAACUGAAGCACUGAAAGGUUAAACAAGGGCUCACAACCAUUAAGUGUUAGAGCCAGGAUUUGAACCCAAGUAAACUGACCCACUAUGAACUGAUAUGUCUAAAUUCUAUGAGGCAGAAGUUCCAAAACUCUCAAGGAGAAGACAGAGGAAGUUCAAGAGCUAACACCCACCAAGUAAAGGACAAAAAAAAAAAAAAAAAAUAGAAGCAAAUUAAAUUUCUCUUUCUUCUGAUAAUGUUCUCCCAAUGCUUGGAGGCUGAAUUUGCCAGGAAAUUACAAAGUACUGUCCUGGAGAUAGAACUCUUUUUUGCUGUUGUUGCUUUCACCAUAAAUGAGCUUCUUUCAGAAUGUCCAUUGGAUGUAGACUGGUAACAGACACAUGAAAAGAUGCUCAACAUCACUCAUCAUCUGGGAAAUACAAAUCAAAACUACAAACUUAUACCUGUCAGAAUGGCUAAAAUUAACAGAGGAAACAACAGAUGUUGGGAGAAUGAGAAAGGAGAACCCUCUUGCACUGUUGGGGAGAAUGCAAACUGAUGCAGCCACUCUGGAGAACAGUAUGGAGGUUCCUCAGAAAGUAAAAAAUAGGACGACUUAUGACCUAGCAAUCGCAUUACUAGGUAUUUACCCAAAGGAUACAAAAAUACUUUUUCAAAGGGACCCAUGCACCCUGAUGUUUACAACAGCAUUAUCAACACUAGCACAAUUAGGGAAAGAGCCCAAAUAUCCAUUGACUGAUGAACGGAUAAAGAAGUUGUGGUAUAUAUACACAAAAUAAUAUCGGUCAUAAAAAGGAAUGAAAUCCUGCCAGCUGCGAUAACUUGGAUGAAGCUACAGUUUAUUAUACUAAGCAAAAUAAGUCAGU